GAAAAGAGAGGGUCCUCGGAAACCCGCUGACAUCCCCGCUCCUUCUAGGAGCACUUGGGAUUGUUGCCAAAGAGGGCAGGAAGCCAAUCCACGGAAAUGUACUUAAACCUGUCUCUACCUUUUUUGUCUCUCUGACACACCCUGAUACCCAACCCCACCCACUCCACCGCAGCUCCCAAGGCACCAGACACACGCAAGUGGCUGAAUUCAGAAGACGAUCUCUUCCGAAAGGAAAGGCACCGUCUACAGAAAGGCAGGAGGAAGUGUGAAAGAUUCCUGUAGGGUGUUGGAAAUAAUUGAGAAGGAAGCAGGGGCGGAGAAUCCUAAAGAAGCCCUGGAGAAUUACAGUUACUUUUAAGAAGCUGAUAAAUUACUGAAUGCAAAAGAGUGAAUAAAGAGAAACAAGAAAAAGAAAAAAAAAAUCUCAAAAUCACUGGAGCUCCCCAUAACAAGCAGAAAAUUCCCAUGGAAUUGGUUAUUACAACUUCUAUAGUAGGCGCCUGAGAUCUGAGAGUUUGCCGAUUGCUCCUCAUUUUUGCGGAAUGACGAAAG
rnacentral:lncRNA from 1 species